rnacentral:rRNA from 1 species
AUGGGAGGCGCGAUGAGCAAGGUUGCGCUGGUGGCGGUGGGGGCGGUGCUGGGGGGAGCAGCCGUCGAGGCUGCGCACAGGUCAGCGUAUGCGGCAGUUGAAGCUGUUUUCGACGCCAUCGCCGACGCGGCGGAGGCCGCGGCAUUCUACGUGUCCCGGCUGUACCGCGAGGUAGCUUCGGCCGAGGCCUACGAGGAGUUCAAGCAGGUCGUCGCCCAGGCCUGCGACGCGGUGAAGCGCGCUGCCGCUUGUGUUAGCAGCCGCGUCGUCCAGAUGAUUGAGUGCUUGCACGGCGUCGCGGCGGCCGCUUGGGCGAAGAGGAAGCUGGACGGCGUGAACGGACUCGUGCGAGCUGGUGAUGUUGCGUCUCUCGUCGCCGCCAUCUUGGAUGGCAUCAACAGGGCCUCUACACCCAUGUUUCCAAGCAAGUUCGUGCCGCCAGAGUCAUCAAAGUGGAGGCGUGCAUCCUCGGACACUGCAGAGAUAAUGGAGCUUCUCCGUCUGAUCUCCUCCGCCGUAGGGAAUAUGUUGGGCGGCAAGGUUCCGGAGGUGGCAAAGGUUGCCAUCAGCGUCACAGCGAUCGCGGCGCAGUUGGUCUUCGCCAUUUUUGAUUAUUUUGCUGGCAUGGGUGAUGCAUAG